GUCAAAGGACGGGUGACUAACACGUGGGCAACCUGCCUGUAAGACUGGGAUAACUUCGGGAAACCGGAGCUAAUACCGGAUAAUAUUUAUUCUCUCAUGAGGAAAAAUUAAAAGUCGGUUUCGGUUGACACUUACAGAUGGGCCCGCGGCGCAUUAUCUAGUUGGUGAGGUAACGGCUCACCAAGGCGACGAUGCGUAGCCGACCUGAGAGGGUGAUCGGCCACACUGGGACUGAGACACGGCCCAUCACUCCUACGGGAGGCAGCAUGUAGGGAAUCUUCCACAUUGGACGAAAGUCUGAUGGAGCAACGCCGCGUGAGCGAUGAAGGCCUUCGGGUCGUAAAGCUCUGUUGUUAGGGAAGAACAAGUACCGGAUUAACUGCCGGUACCUUGACGGUACCUAACCAGAAAGCCACGGUUAACUACGUGCCAUCAUGCCGCGGUAAUACGUAGGUGGCAAGCGUUGCCCGGAAUUAUUGGGCGUAAAGCGCGCGCAGGCGGCCCUUUAAGUCUGAUGUGAAAGCCCACGGCUCAACCCGUGGAGGGUCAUUGGAAACUGGGGGACUUGAGUGCAGAAAAGGAAAG
rnacentral:rRNA from 1 species